rnacentral:lncRNA from 1 species
AAAAAAAAAUAACAGAAAUAUAUUCAUAGUGAAAAUAAUGUUUAAUUAAUAAUUAAUAAUAAUAAUAAUAUUUUUGCAGUUGCAUACUCAGCUCAGGCAAAGUCUUUAUUCUAGGGAAUUCAUUUUAAACUGCUGUUUUGUUUCAGUUCCACCUGACAACAACAACAACAACUUUUCUUUAUCUCUGUGUCUUUAUCUCUCCAUGCACCAUCGUUAAAGGCGUGACUGACCUUUUCUCUGGCAGCCUGUCUAACCACCCUGGGGUAUAUGAUGGCUGGAGGAUCGGCUUUAAUUGACGUGAUAGCACCCCUGAGGUCAGGCAAGAGUCGAGUUCUGUUGACCGUCUGUUUCAAGAAAUGCUGCAGCCUGACUAUCACGUGCUGAUAAUCCAUAAUGCAGUCGAUCUACCAAGGAUCCUCAUCGAGGACGGCGAGCAGCAGGGUGAGUUGAAACGUGGACACAAACAGCUCGAUUGUUCUCUUGUAGGAUAACUCGCGAAGUGGCGUGCACCCAAGCAAGAAGAGUGGGCAGUUUAAAGCAGCACAAAUGGAACGCACAAUAUGAGCUUUGCCGAUUGAAUGCGUAGAAGAGGAUCAGCUGAGCAGUCAGCUGAUGUGGGCUGGCAUAGAGAUCUCUUCUGUCAGCUGAUGUGCUGCACAGUACCAGCAACCUACUACCUGUACAGGGAAUAAUUGGAUUCUGGAUUUCUAUUAAGUUUUGUUUUAUGGAGCUUAAACCCUCACAUUUCACAAACAUUCUACUGCUUUUGCUAGCGUCAUCAGUUUGUCGAUGUACAGUGUAAUUAGAGUUAUUUCGUCAUAAAGAUAGUCAUUACGUUUCAGUGUUCGCUGGCUUCCUUAACCUGCCUCAUUCACUUCCACUUCCAGCUAUCGUCAAUAAAAG